AAGGUGCAGAACUUACUUUAAGUAGCACUAUGUAUGAGGGCUGUACAUCUCACAAACAAAACAGAAAGACAAUAACUUUAGUAAAAAGUAAAUUGACACUUUUGUCAUUAGGUCUGGCAGUCAGUGCAGGCACCAUACAACUCCUAAUUCUAAACAUCUACUCUCAGGAUGAAUACCAUUCAAGCCCAAGGAAAACCAAUGCUUCUUUUCAUCUAUGGACUCAAGUCCCAGAAAGCGGAGAAGUGAGUGUACCAAGUGCAACAAACGUUUGAGCAUUGUUCUGCUGCCAAUAUUGAAGACAGCCACUGCUUUGAAGUGUGGGGAGGAGAGCUAGAGCAUAUUUGCCUGCCACCGUUAGUUUUGUGUUUCCAUGGAAUCUGAGCAAAACUGAUGCACUUGUCUCCCAGGAUUAAUCCACACUACUCACCUCUAAAAUUAUCUUUCCCCAUUCGUUGACUGAGCAAAAAGGACUUCAAGGACCUAAAGGAGGUUAAUACCACAAGAUGGAGGAGCUUGAGUCUCUGAAUCAUUGUGUGUGAAGUCAUCUGCCAAUUACAUAAAUUGAAUUCUUGGGAAUUCUUGGUAUGAUAGGACAUGAAAGCUGAGAGAAAACCCUUCUACCUAGGCACUCCGGAGUUUGAACUACCAGAGACUGAAGGCAGGAGAGAAAAACUAAAACAAAUGACUUCAAAGCCUUUCUGAAAUGCCACAGAGGGUCAGGAUUACAAUCUGCCUAUUCCGAUUCUUCUACUAUGGGAAAAAAUCUUUUCCAGAAUUGAUGUAAAGCCUCUGUUAAUACUUUUCCUGUUAACAACCUAACUAUUCAACCGCUGAAUAAAAACCAUUAGGACAACUAAAGUAACAGAAACUGAGAGAUUUUGGCAAGAAAUAGUCAUUCCAAUAUCAAUAAAUACGGAGGAAAUGCAAUUACUUUUCUUUGCUUAAGUUUUCCAGGGCCUUUCUCUGUUGCCCAGGCUGGAGUGCAGUGAGGCAAUCUUGGCUCACCACAAUCUCUCCCUCCUGGAUUCAAGCAAUUCUCCUGCCUCAGCCCCCCAAGUAGCUGGGAUUACAGGCACGCACCACUACACCCGGAUAAUUUUUGUAUUUUUAGUAGAGAUGGGGUUUUACCAUAUUGGCCAGGCUGGUCUUGAACUCCUGACCUCGUGAUCAGCCUGCCUCGGCCUCCUAAAGUGCUGGGAUUACAUGCAUGAGCCACUGUGCCCGGCCAACUUGUUAAAUUUUUAAUCAUUCUGCUCACCUUUUGCAACCUUACUGACUUUUGUGUCCACCUUAUCUAGC